rnacentral:rRNA from 1 species
AUGGCCAUCCACAAGGCUUUGCUUCUUGCCAUCCUCGGUUGCAUCUGCCUCUGUGGUACAGUCAUUGCAGCUCGUGAGCUGAAUGAUGACUUGUUGAUGGUGGCGAAGCAUGAGAACUGGAUGGCUCAGUAUGGCCGUGUGUACAAGGACACCACUGAGAAGGCACGUCGGUUCGAGGUUUUCAAAGGCAACGUCGAGUUCAUUGAAACAUUCAAUGCCCAAAAUCACAAGUUCUGGCUUGGCGUCAACCAAUUUGCUGAUAUCACAAAUGAUGAGUUCAAGACAACCAACACAAACAAGGGAUUCAAAGCAAACUCCAUGAGAGUUCUUUCUUCUGGAUUCAGGUAUGAGAAUUUGAGUUUGGAUGCCCUUCCAGCAACGGUGGACUGGAGGGCCAAGGGAGCCGUCACUCCUGUCAAGGAUCAAGGCCAGUGUGGCUGCUGUUGGGCAUUUUCUGCUGUUGCCGCGACAGAGGGCAUUGUAAAACUGAAAACCGGGAAGUUGAUCUCACUGUCGGAGCAAGAGUUGGUUGACUGUGAUGUUCAUGGUCAAGAUCAAGGCUGCGAGGGAGGACUCAUGGAUGAUGCCUUCAAAUUCAUUAUCAAGAAUGGAGGCCUUACUAUGGAGUCAAGCUACCCAUAUACUGCAGCUGACGGCAAGUGCAAGGCUGGAUCCAACAGUGCCGCAACCAUCACCGGCUUUGAGGAUGUGCCUGCCAAUAACGAGGGUGCCCUUAUGAAGGCGGUGGCAAACCAACCAGUGUCUGUAGCUGUGGACGGAGGAGACAUGACGUUCCAAUUCUACUCUGGUGGGGUGAUGACUGGGUCCUGCGGCACUGACUUGGACCAUGGAAUUGCAGCCAUUGGAUAUGGAAAGACUAGUGAUGGCACGAGCUAUUGGUUGAUGAAGAAUUCAUGGGGCACAACUUGGGGCGAAGAUGGGUACUUGAGAAUGGAGAAAGACAUUGCAGACAAGAAGGGCAUGUGUGGUCUUGCCAUGGAGCCUUCUUACCCAACAAAAUAG